UACGGAGGGUGCAAGCAUUAAUCGGAAUUACUGGGCGUAAGCGUGCGCAGGCGGUUUGUUAAGUCUGCUGUGAAAUCCCCGAGCUCAACUUGGGAAUUGCAGUGGAUACUGGCAAGCUGGAGUACGGUAGAGGAAGGUGGAAUCCCGGUGUAGCAGUGAAAUGCGUAGAGAUCGGGAGGAACACCAGUGGCGAAGGCGGCCUUCUGGACCAGUACUGACGCUCAUGCACGAAAGCGUGGGGAGCAAACAGG
rnacentral:rRNA from 1 species